CUAGUUUAAACAUUGCUCUGAGCAAAAUCUUGGAGUGAAACUGAGCAUGAAUUGUGCUGCAUAGAAAAGUGCUCUCUAUUAUUCAUGAAGCUAAAAUGGAGCCAGCAGAGAUACAGAAGGAUGUUGCAGGGACGGUGACAGCUGUGUAAAACUGACUUACCUUCAAAACAAGAAAGGAACCCUCUCUGACAGACACAAGCAGGAAGAACUCCACUUAUUGCUGGGGUCUAAGCACAGUUCGGCAUGGAAACCUCAUAGAGCUGCAAGUGCUGUAACAUCUAAGAGGUCUUUUGUGAGAUCAACAGAGGACUUUUGCAUUUCUAAACUUCUUAGUUAAGUUCAAUACACAAAACAUCUGAACAUGGAAAGUGUUGUUUUAGAGUAGCUUUUCCAGUAACAAGAAUGCUGCUACUCUUUUUAGCGAUUUCCAUCAUCCCAAACAAUGGAAAGUAAAAUUUAUUUUAGUAAAUCGGUUUGCUAUAAAUGGCUCUCUCUUAUAUGUAGCGCUGGAAAGUUCAAUUAAUUUUAGAGAAUCGGUUCAUCAUAAUCAGCUUUCUAUAUUAUGUAGUGCUGAAAAGUUUAAUUCGUUUUACUGAAUCAGUUCAUCCUAAAUGGCUCUCUCUCAUAUCCAGAGCUGGAAAGUCUGAUUCGUUCUAGUGAAUCAGUUCAUUAUAAAUGUGUCUCUCUUUGUUAUG